UACGUAGGUGGCAAGCGAUACUCGGAAUCACUAGGCGUAAAGCGCAGGUAGGCGGUUUGGUAAGUCUUUUGUGAAAGCUCCCGGCUCAACUGGGAGAGGUCAAGGGAAACUACCGGACUAGAGUGUGGUAGGGGAUACUGGAAUUCCUGGUGUAGCGGUGAAAUGCGUAGAUAUCAGGAGGAAUACCGAUGGCGAAGGCAGGUCUCUGGGCAUUAACUGACGCUGAGGAGCGAAAGCAUGGGGAGCGAACAGG
rnacentral:rRNA from 1 species